AAAAUCUACAAGUUGCUUUUUAAAAUAUUUUCCUACUAUAUUCAAAAUCUACAAGUUGCAGCAUCAUCAAAACUCAUCUUCACGUUUUACCAAUACUCCCUUAUUGGUAACAAUAUCCGCCUUUUUGAUGAUGAUAAAAAAUUCUCUUUUUAAAAGCAACUCAGGUUUACCUGCAACACAUACAAACUAAAAACAGCCACAGAGUUAGCAGUACCUGUACAAUUGAAAAAUAUUUCUCCCCUUAAUUCUCCCUUAAUAUUUCUUCUCCCCCUUUUUGAUCAUAAGCAAAAAGAAUAAUGUAAAAAAUCUCCCCCUUAAUAUGAGCUCCC
rnacentral:lncRNA from 1 species